rnacentral:rRNA from 1 species
GAUGAACGCUAGCUACAGGCUUAACACAUGCAAGUCGAGGGGUAACGAGAGGAAAGCUUGCUUUCCUUGUCGACGACCGGCGCACGGGUGAGUAACGCGUAUCCAACCUGCCCCCAACUAGGGAAUAACCUUGCGAAAGUAAGACUAAUACCCUAUAAUUUCCUCAGAUGUCAUCUGACGAGGAAUAAAGAUUUAUCGGUUGUGGAUGGGGAUGCGUCUGAUUAGCUUGUUGGCGGGGUAACGGCCCACCAAGGCAACGAUCAGUAGGGGUUCUGCGAGGAAGGUCCCCCACAUUGGAACUGGGACACGGUCCAAACUCCUACGGGAGUCAGCAGUGAGGAAUAUUGGUCAAUGGGCGGAAGCCUGAACCAGCCAAGUAGCGUGCAGGAUGACGGCCAUAUAGGUUGUAAACUGCUUUUAUACAGGAAUAAAGUUAGCCACGUGUGGUUAUUUGUAGGUACUGUAUGAAUAAGGACCGGCUAAUUCCGUGCCAGCCGCCGCCGUAA